UCCCAGGUGGCUUAGUGGUAAAGAAUCUGCCUGCCAAUGCAGAAGACAUGGGUUCUAUCCCUAGGUUGGGAA
rnacentral:tRNA from 1 species